UCUCCGUUGGUGAACCAGCGGAGGGAUCAUUACAGAGUUGCAAAACUCCCAAACCAUUGUGAACGUUACCUACCCCGUUGCUUCGGCGGGUGGCCCGGGCCCCGCGCCCGGCGCCCCCCGGCCCCCCGCCCGCGCCCGCCGGAGGUGACCCAAACCCUUGAAUUGCAUGGCCUCUCUGAGUUUUCUGUACUGAAUAAGUCAAAACUUUCAACAACGGAUCUCUUGGUUCUG
rnacentral:misc_RNA from 1 species